UCAUCAGGAUUAUAAAUUCCCAUCAUCUUAGUGGGUAACAGCCAGAUCUUCUGCAUGCCCCAGCAUGACUCUCUUGCCUUGUAACUCAAAAUAAUUAUAAUAUAUUUAUCGGUAAAAGAAAUCCAAAAUAGAUAGUUCAAAUCCAACAAUGUAAGGCUCUUUCCACAUCCCAAAAUCACGGCAUUGCAGAGAUCUGCCACUUUCCUCAAGAUAGUAUUAAACGAUAAUUCGCCUCCAAUAUCUUUUCACAUAUUCAUUUAUUUUUUAAAAUCCCUGGCUUCACUGUUGCUUGGUUUAGAAACUACUAUUUCUAUGAGAUCUGUUUCUUUUCUUUUUCUUUUGCGGGACUUCCGGUUUGCUGCUUGUCCCCGCUGGACGCUCCUUCGGGAUCGUCGAACCCACUGCCUGUAAGAGCCGCCUUUUUCAGCAGAAUGGCGGCUCGAAAAAACUCCGUUUCCAUUAGGAAACGGAGAUAGAGCCGGCUGGGGUGGGUAGAGUCCUCUGCCUAAUCCCAAAAGUUUUUUAUUUACUUUUGGGAGGGAGCGGAAGAGACUCCCCGUAUCCCCAGCCGAUGCUCCGGGCUCUGGGAAAUCUCUGCUACACGCAGAGCUAGGGGGCAAAAGCAAGCCUGUAAAUCUGUCAAAUAAAUUAAUUAAAGAAGAUAUGAGCUGGACCUCUGAUCCUGAAGCGCAAGUAUUUUUUUUUAUUCUAUUUUGCCUAAGAAGUGAAGUGAAGGGAAAAAGUUUUUUUUAAAUGGCGAUUGCUGCUGGGGCUUGAAGAGAGGCUGAAAGGGAAACUCCUUCCGUUUUCAAUUACAAAGUAGCGGAAUGAAUACUUUUGGCUGUAACUGAAGGCAAAACCUCACUCUCACUUCUGUUUUUUUUUUUCCUUUUUUUUUCCUUGGGGAUCUGAUAUUGAUCUUGGUUGGAAAAAAGUUUUUUUUUUUCUCUUUUCCAGUAAAUUUUGUCUGCGUGGAAAAAUGGCACUGAGACUUAUAAAGCUAGACAAACAGGCAGUGGGGGGGGAUUCCCCCAUUAAUAAAUUACAUCAACAAGUUUUAACUCUCCAGUCUCAGAAACCUGACUUUAAUAUAAUAGAAUUUCUUCUUGAGGAGAUUGUAAGAAGGGAUGAGAUUGUGAAUCAGCAACUUGAAAAAUUUAAGUUGGAAAUCAAAGAAAUUGGUGAAUUGGUGAAAUCUAAGUUUGGUUUUUUGGAUCGAAAGAUUUUAAAAACAGCUAAUGGCUUAGCAGACUUUGUGAUUCAGUUGGAUGCAAAUACUAAAUUAUUAGAGUCUAAAAUGAAAGAAACUGAGGAGAAUUUGGAUGACAAGAUCCAAAAAAUUAAAAAGGAUUUGGCAAACACUCAGGAUAAUAGUUCAGAAGACAAACUUAAAAUGGAGGCUGAUCAAAAGACUGGUAAUGAAGAAAAUGUACAACAGAGGAUUGAAAGAGAAGUUUUAAUGAUCCAACACAAUUUUACAGAAUAUGCAAUUAGACUGAGAGGCCUGCAGGAAAAUGACAGAGAUGAUUUAAGGAAGAUAUCUUCUGAAAUUCUGGCUGGGAUUUUAAAGGUUCAACCUGAUGAAGUGUUUUGCAGGAUUGACAGAAUUUAUAGAAUAAACUCCUGGUUGGCAAAACAAGCGCAAUUGCCUAGAGAUGUGGUGAUUUAUUUUACAGACAGAGAAAUUAGAAAUAAUAUUGUGCAGAAUUCUUAUAAUUCUACUUUGCAAUUUCGUGGAAGAAAGAUUUGGAUUUUUAAGGAACUCCCGCCCAAGAUGUUAAUGGAGAGGAAGAAAUUUGGUUUUCUAGUGAAUGAGUUAAAAAAAAGGAAUAUUUUAUUUAGGUGGGACGUCCCAGUUGGUUUAAUAUUGAGACACCAAGGAGUAAGAUACCAACUGAAUACUGUCGAAAAAGCGGAAGAAUUUUAUCAAAAAAUUUUAAAAAUAAAUUUAACAUCUUUAGGCAUAACACAGGACAAGCAAAAGGAGCUGGAAAUAAAGGAAAAACAUCAAAUUACAGAGGCUGUGGUAGAUAACCUGUCUUCGGACUCCUUGGAUACCCCAGCUGGACUGUCUAUAAAUUUGAGAGCAGUGUCAUCUGAUUCUAAUGUGAUGAAUUAUCAAGUUACAGACAAGUGCGUAAAUCAACCAGUUGAUAUACAAGUGAUGGAAAAGACAUAUGAGAUAAUAAAACAAAACCAACAAGAUCAAUUUACAAAGCAGAAUGACAACCGAUCAGCUGAUACACAACUUGUAGGAAGGAAAUCUGGAUGGAAAUGCAACCCAUUUCUCAUUCUUGAGCAAAAAGAUAAUGCUCGAAUCCAGGGGUCAGCAACCUGUGGCUCCGGAGCCCCAUGCGGCGCUUUGGGCCCUCUGCUGUGGCUCCCUGUCAGGUGAUCCCACCACUGGCUGGCCCCACCCCUCGCCCUCCCCUCCCAGUCACUCCUCACCUGGCCUGAGAAGCAGAUUUCUUCAAACUCAUUAUCCAAGGUCGGCAUACGCCAGGAACUAUAAAUAUCUCACACUGCCGUCACUAAACACAGUCGAUUCACCACUGUCGUCAUAAUGUCUGCUAGAAUUUUUGUCCUGUGCCUCCUCUCUUCAGUCAUCUCAACAGCGGCAUCUUUAAAAUGCCAGUCCUGCUUUGCCUGUAAAGAAGAAUGCAAAAACGAGGACAUGAAGUCGGUGGACUGUGGACCGGAUGAAGAAUAUUGUCUUUCACUUUCCUUUCGCAGCACUAUGACCAGACCUCCACUAUCCUUUACUUACAAGUCAUGUGCAACAGAUAAGCAAUGCUCCAAAGCUUAUUAUAGCCUCACAUCGGUAGCCGGCAAAUUCCAGCAGCUGAGAGUAGAGUGUUGUGAGACCGAUGACUGUAAUACAGCACCUCUUCCUAUACCAGGGCGUGAGCUCAUGAAACCCAACGGGUUCUACUGUCCAGGCUCUUAUGAACAAAAUGGUUCUUCUGAACAAAAUGGAUCCGUGCUGUGUCUCGGUGAUGAGAACCAGUGUUUCACUUCGAAAUUCACCACCUACGCACUGUCAGCAUUCCAUUCAACAGUCACUGCCCAGGGAUGUACAAUCAGGAAUGCCUGUACCUACCCAGAAAGAGAAAUGGAGUAUGGGAAUGGAUUACUUCGUUUAAACAUUGAAAGAGUAGAAUGCCAGAAUCCUGAGGGACUGGAAGGAUGGAACAGCUUUUCAAGAACAUUUGGGCGGGGAUGGAAUUAAGGGCUUCAUCCAAAGAAGUAAGAAUUUGGGAUCAAAGAUACUCAAGUUAGAGAUUAAAGUUUGUGAUUUGCGUUGGUGAUGAGUGAUGGGUUUUUAAUUACUAUGCUUUGAUGUUCUAGCUCACUCUGAGGUUCUUUCUUAACUUUCAACUGUCAUUAAGCUAUCACCUAAAUAAACUAAGAAUGCAAAUAA